rnacentral:misc_RNA from 1 species
UCUCCGUUGGUGAACCAGCGGAGGGAUCAUUACCGAGUUACAACUCCCAAACCCAAUGUGAACGUUACCAAACUGUUGCCUCGGCGGGGUCACGCCCCGGGCGCGUCGCAGCCCCGGAACCAGGCGCCCGCCGGAGGAACCAACCAAACUCUUUCUGUAGUCCCCUCGCGGACGUUAUUUCUUACAGCUCUGAGCAAAAAUUCAAAAUGAAUCAAAACUUUCAACAACGGAUCUCUUGGUUCUG